CGUUAACACGGGGGGGCGUGGGAAGAGGCUGCAGGACAUAGUCCCGUUCAGGCAUCUGGACCAAGCUGAGGGACUUCGGGGAACCCCAUGGGGGGAACUCAUCUUUGGAAAAGAGAUGCUGGUUGUAAACAAUCCAAGCUGUCUUGUUUUAUAAGAACAGCUCUAAAAUGGACACUACCAGGGCAAUUUCACUUCUGAAAUAACUGACACCUGUGUCUGGGACCAUCUCCUCAGAUAGCCCCGGGCUUCACGUUCCCUCCUUCCACGUGAUGACUUCCCAGCAGGCCCCGCCCCGUCCCGGCAUGCCCCUCCUCAUUCCGGCAUGCCCCUCCUCAUCCCAGCAUGCCCUGCCCCAUCCCGGCAUGCCCUGCCCCAUCCCGGCAUGCCCUGCCCCAUCCCGGCAUGCCCCUCCAUAUCCCGGCAUGCCACCUCCCCAUCCCGGCAUGCCACCUCCCCAUCCCAGCAUGCCUCGCUGCCACAGGCACAGCGGCUUACCUGGAGGCUUGUGCGGUUCGCAUUCCUCGAGCAGCGCAGAUGCCAGCUGCCGCUCUUUCCCUGAGAUAGGGCGGGGACUUGUGUGCGUUAACAAGAAUUUUUCCAGGUUUGGUGUGGAGAUUACCGGUGAGGAGUUUGAGUUGCUACUUGACAGAAUCCCCCGGGAUGAAGAUGGAAAUGUCAGAUCCCUCCAACUCGUGGCCAUGCUGGAUGAUCGGUGAUUGGAAUAGUCAGUACUUCCCAUAUGAGAAAAGCCUGCCACCGGCCAUCUUUAUCAGACACAUCGCCAGUCUCUGAGCUGUAUGGCUGGAGACAGCGGUCUACCGGGUUUGAUACUCAUCCUGAAAUAACAUAAGGAAAGAUCCAUCCUCUUUGGGAAGCACUGAUCACAAACCAAGAUAAGACCCUGAACCUAUGGUGUUUGUAAGACAUUCUGGCCACUCGCCAAAAUCCGUCCGUGUUCCCAAUGUCAACAUUAGCCCCCCUAAAAGAGGCGACAGCUACUUCCAGAUGUGUUCCAAGACACUCAGCUAUCAUACUUGUUGACAGAGUCUGAGCAAAGGAAAAAUGGACCACUGAGGUGCUUUUGAUUCCUCAGAGAACAGCGCUGCGCACAUCUUGGUUGUUAGCACGACCCGUGCUGGUCCACUGUCGUCCCAAGUCAGAGGUCACUGACGCCAGGGACAGGCGACUGCUGUGUUGCUUGAAAUGCCCCUGGGCCCAAAGUGCCUUCAGAU